GCGGGUAUGGUGGAAUAGGCAGACACAAGGGACUUAAAAUCCCUCGGUGCAAUAUCCGUGCCGGUUCAAGUCCGGCUACCCGCACCA
rnacentral:tRNA from 1 species